rnacentral:rRNA from 1 species
UACGUAGGGGGCAAGCGUUGUCCGGAUUUACUGGGCGUAAAGCGCGCGUAGGUGGAACGAUCAGUCCGGUCUGAAAGGCCCCCGGCUCAACCGGGGAGGGUGGCUGGAACUGUCGUUCUUGAGGGCGAGAGAGGAGGGUGGAAGUUCCAGGUGUAGCGGUGAAAUGCGUAGAUAUCUGGAGGAACACCGGUGGCGAAGGCGGCAUCCUGGACCAAUAUUGACGCUGAGGAGCGAAAGCUAGGGGAGCAAACGGGG